GGGUAAGAGCCAUAAAGAAGAGUCUAGCUAGUACUUGGUGGUGUGGACCAUAAGUACUGAGCUUGGGUGUUAUUAUUCAAGGAAGGCCGUGUGUGAUCUGAUCACGGGUAAGGAUGAACGACCUGAUCCAUAGAUGAUAGGUCAAGGUGUCUGAUCUGAUUGAUCAAAGGAUGCACCGGUUGUAAGAGCAGUUGUGAUUGGCUUUGUUGGGACAUGGUUCCAUGGCCGGUUAGGUAUGUGAGAAGACUCAUCAGUUCUGGGUCAUGUGGGGUGGUUGGUUCAUUGACUUAGGAUCUGAUGGGCAUUUUUGGUCCAUAAGAUGGACUUGGUAUCAUAUGCUGAUAAGCGAAAGGUUGUUAAAUGAAGCAUGAGCCGGGAAGGGCCAAAUGCAUGUCCUUAGCUGUUUGAAGACUUCUCAAGGGUUACUUAAGUCUUUGGGGAUGGUUGGCUGAAUGACUAAGUACCUAGGGGAUUUGUUUUAUGUGUAAAGAAGCUGGACGCAAUAUAUGGCAGCUGGCCAUAGCUCGGACUUAGCUCAGUUCGAGUGUGACAGCUCGAUCAGCUGGUUUACGUGUUCAUUCAGCUAAAGCAGCUGGGCCGAUGAGCUAACAAGCUCCGUGGAUGUGCCUAAGGUAUGAUCUAGUAACUCUUGCUUAGUUCUAGAUAGAAUGGACUAGGGGAAUGUAACCUCAGAUUCGUAUGACUUGAUUCGGGUCUAGGAUCGACCUUUGAGCUAGCUUGUAGUUGAGAGUACUAACCAUUAGCUGAGGUGAUUCGACCGGACAAGUAUUAGAUUGGUUACAGACCAAUGGAUGAUGAUAUCAUUCCGCUGCGUAUGUGUUGUAUUGAUAUAAGCAAGGAAAGACUAUGGUAGUCUUGGGCUAAGAUCUGAGUUAGCCCUCGCCUAUGGGCGAUGUUUUAAUUAAUGGGCGAAAAUUUUGAGAGGUUCGGUCAGGGUAUGGACCGAGCGACGUGAGGCAUCAACCGCUGCCUAGUCGGCCGGGAUCGGGUCUUACAAGUUGGUAUCAGAGCAUGCUUGAUCAUGUUAAGGACAGUGCUCAAAGAUGUUGAGUUCCAAACCGAAAUUAUUUCUGAAAACUGAGAGGACUUGGAACCUUAGUUGUGGUGAGCCAAGUGGGAGUUGAGGUAAGAUUGGGUUUCAUGCUUGUGAACGGGGAAGUUCCUAGAUGAGCCGGCUUAGCCAAGAUGCACUCUCCAAGGGCAAGACCCUGAAACAGAAAGGUUAGUUUUCUAGUUAUUUGGAAGUAAUAGACGGAUUGGACGAUGGACGCAAUGCAAGAUCUUUGUAUGGACGACCUGGACAAGGGAAGUAACAUUAACCAAAGAGUGGCUUAGGUUGAAAGAUACGUGCAGCACUCUCUUGGAGGUUAGUGUUAUUCCUUGGUGGUCGUUCCAAACAAGUGAGCAUAUGCAGUGUUCAUGUUGGUUAAGGGAGACGCUACAUGGCUAGUACAUGAGUGGGCUUGUGAUCAGAUGGAUCAGCUUGGACUCAGUAUAAGUCAAGGUAGGAUUCCUUAAGAUUGAGUGAAUGGAAUGGAUCAAUUCAGGAGGAAAUGGGAAACACGAUGUUAAGUAUCUUAGUAUGAUGAGGAUUGAGGUAUACUAUAAACACUUUUGUGAAUGGUAUGGGACGUUCACAGAAGUGUGAUGCUUUGGAGAAUGGUAUGGGACGUUUUCCAAAUGAGUGAUCAAACCGAGAUCCUACUCAUCUAAGUACUUAAUGAUCGGUGGUGUGGAAACACAUGUACUUUUCGAUACUGGAGCUACACAUAGUGUUGUGAGUCCAGGAAUGGUCGGAAAGGGUUUGUUCCAGAUGGAAACAUGGGAUUGUCUUGUCAUAGUGAAUACGGCCAGUUGGCAGGUGAUGGAUUCACUAGGGCUGGUUAGAGACAUCCCGGUAUUCUCAGACAGGGUAAUGCCUGCGGAUCUGAUUGUUGAUCAUAGACAGGGUAAUACCUGCGGAUCUGAUUGUUGUCCGCCUUGAGAAUCACGAGGUGAUAUUAGGCAUGGACUGGUUUGGACAGAAUCGGGCCACCUUGGACUGUCACCGGGGUAUGGUGCAGUUUAAGAGUGGGUGUUAUAACACCCCGAUCCGGCCGACUAGGCCGUGGUCGAAGUCUUAUGUCGCUUGGUCCACUUCCUGGCCGAACCUCUUAAUUUUUUUGCCCUUUAUUUAUAAUAUCGCCUAAAGGCGAGGGCUAACUUAGAUCUUAGCUAAAGACUCCCCUAGUCAUUAAUAGCCUAGAUCAUUUCAACAGAUACGCAGCAGAUUAUUCUCUAGUUAACCAUUGGUCGAAAACAAAUCUAAGACUUGUCUGGUCGAAUCACCUUAGCCUUGGUCAGUUUACUCAACUACCAAUUAGCUUAAAAGUCAAUCCUAAACCCAAACCAAGCCAUACGAUUCUGAGGUUCCAUUCCCCUAAACCAUUCUAUCUAGAUCUAGAUAAGUAAAUACUAGAUCAUACCUUUGCCGCAUCUACGGAGCUUAUUAGCUCAUCGGUCCUCCAGUGACUCGAAUUGCUCUUACUUGACAGCUGGACCAUGAUCAAUCAAUGAUCUUACUUAUGGUCCUUAUCGGGACUCCUGCAUCAAACAACUCCCCUAGGUACUUAGUCAUUCAACAAACCAUCCCACAGACAUAAGUAACCUUUGAGAAGUCUUUGUAAGGAUAAGGAUAUACAUCUGGCCUUUCUUGGCUCAUGCACAAUCCGAUAUCCUUUUGCCUUAUAGGCAAUAGUACCAAGUCCAUCUUCUGGACUGACAAAGCUCAUUAGAUCCUAAGUCCAUCAACCAACCUUCCUCACAUGACUUGGAACUGAUGAGUCAUCAUCUGGCCUGAUCGGCCUUGGGACUUAACCCAGACAGCAGAUAUGACUUGUUCAUACCAACAGAUGCAUUCAUUAAUCAGGUUAAGACCGACACCUUGAACAAUCAUUCAGAGGUCAGGUCGUCCAUACUCAUACAUGAUCAGAUCUUACACGGCCUUCCUUGAACAAUCACACUUAGGCUUAGUACCUAUGGUCUACGACACAUAGUACUAGCCAUACACUUCGUCAUGACUCUUAGCCAAUCUCGAAGCUAUCAACACCAAGUUGAUAUCUAGAAGCAUCACAUCAAUACUCUUACUCCGGCAAUGUGACUAUCCAUACUAGUGCUCGGCCAUCAAACCAUCUUCAUGAAACAUGAUCCAACCACUAGACUUGAUAAGCCAUCGUCCACUUAGCAUGUACUGAUAUAACCGGCCUUCCAUUGCCAUCUUGUGGGUCUACCCCCUACAUAAGGCAUAUGGCGCCUAUCCUACUCACCAACCCGAGGUUGAUUGUAAGAUAUCCCACUUAGCCUUUGCGGCCAGAACCAUCCAACCAUAGUUGGAUCGUCCAUAGUCCCGUCUAACGUCUGGUUAAGAUGAUCGGCCAGUUAUAAGUCCGGCCCAAAGGCUCACGGACCUUCUUACCUGAUCCAACCCAAAGCCUGGAUCCAUACCACAUAGUAAGGCCCAAGAGCAAACCGGAUUGACUUGCAACCAAUCAGACCUUGCGACACAACACUCCGGUUAAAUUAACCGUCCGUCCGUUCGACUAUGCAGCCGCGGACUGUCCACUUGGUUCGGCCUAAGCCUUGAACCAAUGGCACCAUUUGGAACUCACACCCUUUGGGAACUAGUACCCUUUGGACACACGUGCCUCUUGGCAACUCAUGACCCUUGGCAACUCACACCCAUUCAGAUGUUCCAACCGUUCGACCUAACCGUCCAUGGGAAUGUCUGGUCCGUGCGUGUGUCCGGCCUAUGGCCAAAGGACCACGUCUUAACCUACACAAGUCGCGAACCAUUUUGACUGUUCAGGGAAGUGUUGCAACCGUUCAGAACCGAACAGAACCGCCCAUAUCCAAUCGGAUCACCUGAGGCUGGUUUAGACCAUGCGCGCGCCUAACUCGACGGUUAUGGAUCGCGACCGCAUUACUCAACCAGAACCACGGUUAUAACCAAUCCCAACAUAUCCACAAGUCCACGCCAAUGUACAGAAGGAGUAGAAGAAGAAUUAGAUGAAAAGAAUAAGAAGAAUGGGACACAAUCCAAACGUCCAUGGCUAGACCGGUUCGGACUGCCCGAUGGUCUUAGCCGAUGAGUCGGUGGUUACCCCACUGACCCUAUUGGAUUGAACCACGGCUUUGGAGUCCUUCUCCAGACCUUUCUCUAUACGCUGGGUAUUCAUAACCACACGGCCUCCUCUCUCCUAAACCGUUCUCCUUGCCGGAGGUACUAAACCACCACAACCGACCCUUUUCCGGCCGAUCUCUCUCUCUCUCCCUCUCUAUUUGGCGUCUGCCUUUUGUUUCUCACGAAACUGAUUGAAUGCCUUGAUCUCUGGUCGUGCAUCCUUUAUAUAGGCAACCAAAGGUCAUGUUCGAAGAGUCACAUACCUUCGAAGCAUCCUUCUGGGACAGAUCUUGGCCAUCGAUUACAAUCAACGGUCCAGAUCGUACCUGUUCGGAUAUAGAAGGCUCCAGACCUUCUAGGCACGUCCAAACCAAGAGCAGAGUUGGUACUCAAGCCCACAGCCUGCCCACAAGAGUCCAACGACUAAUUGACCUCAUGGCCGGACCUCAUGGCCCGCCACUGACCCGGAUCCGGACCAUCGGCCCGAAACCCGAACAGUCCGUCAAGCUGAGAUGAGCUGAAUCCCAGCAGCCUCAGCUGAUUGAGCUAGUAGCCCAGCUAUUGGAGCUGACCUAGUAGUGUCCGAGCUCGAGUGAGCUUAACCUAGCAUCGUUGAGCUAGUCGAGCUACCCGUUCACUUCGUCCAGCUAUCAUCUUACGCGUACUAGCUGACUUCUCUCUCUUAUAAGGUUAAGUCUCAGCAUCCUUACGUCCUUAACCUUCUAUCUUGGCCAUGGAACGCCUUCCUUAAGGUCCUAAGAUCCAUGAUUGGGGGCAUGACAGGUGUGGACCCCUGAUCAGGUUCCAAGGCUUGGAAAGAAUUGGGCCACUCUGGACUGUCACAGAGGAAGGGUGCAGUUUUAGAGUGGGUGUAAACCCCCGAUCAGGUUCCAAGGUAUUCCUCCGACCUCUGGAUGCUUAGUGAUAUCAGAAAUCCAAGUGGAAAGGAUGCUUGAGAAGGGUUGUGAGGCUUAUUGGCCACAAUCGCCACUAAGAAGGUUCAAGAGGCUGGUGACCCGGACGGGAUUCUGCUGGUUAGUGAGUUCGAGGACGUGUUUCGGGCGCUACAGGGCAUCCCCCUGGUAGGGCUGACCCACUAAUAGCAGAACCAGAACCAUGGACGGCCCCAAUGUCCAAAAGUCCAUAUCGUAUAGCUCCUGCCGAGAUGGCCGAGCUGAAGUCGACCCCGUCCAAGAAGGGACCUGGGUCGCAGCACAACCAAGUCAGAGAUGGACAUAUGGUUGGAGUGAGACGGUUGAGUCCCGAAGAGACCAGGACCGCAAUAUGAUCAAGUCCAGUAAGGGAUGAGGAUCAGGAAACAACCUAUUCGGAGAUGGGCCUAUGGUCGGAUUGAAACGGUUGAGUCCCUGAGUGGACCAGGACCAGAAUGUGAUCGAGUCCAUGAAGGACCAGGAUCGAAUUGUGACAAAGUCCAGUACUGGACAUAGUCAAGAUGAGGCGGGUUAGUCUUGUAGGGACUAAGAUCGCAGUAUGGCCAAGCUGGGAAAUGCUGUGACUGGUUAAGGAAUGACCCAGUAAUUGGUGGCUGGUAUCAUAAACCUUAGUGUCCGGGAAGGACUUAAAGAAACAUAACAAUCUGUUAGGACUCAUGGUAGAGUGACAGCCUAAAGAUUGGAACAUGUUCGCUAGGACUUGGCUGGUGCAUCGAGUGGCUUUGAGAUUUGUUGAAUCUACUAAUACUUGAAUACUCAGUAUGUUCCUAGGGACUGAAUUUGAUCUAGUCAUGGAACUAAAGUGUUCUACAAGGACUUGGUGUCUACUAGGAACGCAACCUGGAGAGAUGGGUUAGUGACACAAGUCAUGACUUUGUAUGGAUGCUUGAUGGACCACUUGAUAAAAUUUUGGGUUAAAUCUCUAUCAAGUGGGGGAGACUUGUACAUAUGGUGAUCAAGACGUUAUCAGUGAGAAGGAACAAGGAGGGAGAUGCAAUAAAUUGGUUAGGAAGAACCAAUCGAGCACUGAGCCAUGGCAUUGGCCGGUUGAAGAAUGAUGUCCAUGGCCUUAGCCGGGCUGUUCUUGAUCGAGAUCUAUAUGUUCUGGAUCUGUUCUUUGGAAUAUGAUUAUGGGAAUCUUUUAGUUAUGAAUUAUCAUGAGUUUUCAUGAAUCUUAAUCAGUUUUUAGGAAUUGAUUUGAUGAUGUCCACUUUGGGCCGGUUUGGCUGAUCUUGGCCGAGAUCUCUAGGAUCGAGGCUGGUUCUGCAUAUUCUGAUAAUGGCAUUCUCUUAGUUGGGUAUUAUCAUGAAUUUACAUGAAUUUUAUUUAGUUUUUUGGAUCACAUUUGAAAUCGGCCAGAUUUGGGUUUAAUGAGAAAUUGAUCGAUUAGUUAUGGAACCAGCCAUGUAAUGAUAGAUCCUAGUGUUAGGUUAUCGGAUCAUAUGCUUGUGUAUUGUGAAAUGUUUGUCACUUAUGAUUAUUGAUCAUAAGGAAUGUUAGUUAUCAAACUUGGGUUGGUAAGCUAUGUGCAAGGAUUGGCUAAGAGCUAUAAAGAAGAGUCUAGCUAGUAUUUGGUGGUGUGGACCAUAAGUACUGAGCUUGGGUGUUAUUAUUCAAGGAAGGCCGUGUGUGAUCUGAUCAUGGGUAAGGAUGGACGACCUGAUCCAUAGAUGAUAGGUCAAGGUGUCUGAUCGGAUUGAUCAAAGGAUGCACCAGUCGUAAGAGCAGUUGUGAUCGGCUUCGUUGGGACAUGGUUCCAUGGCCGGUUAGGUAUGUGAAAAGACUCAUCAGUUCUGGGUCAUGUGGGGUGGUUGGUUGAUUGAUUUAGGAUCUGAUGGGCAUUUUUGGACCAUAAGAUGUACUUGGUAUCAUAAGCUGAUAAGCGAAAGGUAUUUGAAUGAAGCAUGAGCCGGGAAGGGCCAAAUGCAUGUCCUUAGCUGUUUGAAGACUUCUCAAGGGUUACUUAAGUCAGUGGGGAUGGUUGGCUGAAUGACUAAGUACCUUGGGGAGUUGUUUUAUGUGUAAAGAAGCUGGAUACAGUAUAUGGCAGCUGGCCAUAGCUCGGACUUAGCUCAGUUCGAGUG
rnacentral:lncRNA from 1 species